AUUGAACGCUGGCGGCAGGCCUAACACAUGCAAGUCGAACGGUAGCACAGAGAGCUUGCUCUCGGGUGACGAGUGGCGGACGGGUGAGUAAUGUCUGGGAAACUGCCCGAUGGAGGGGGAUAACUACUGGAAACGGUAGCUAAUACCGCAUAACGUCUUCGGACCAAAGUGGGGGACCUUCGGGCCUCACACCAUCGGAUGUGCCCAGAUGGGAUUAGCUAGUAGGUGGGGUAAUGGCUCACCUAGGCGACGAUCCCUAGCUGGUCUGAGAGGAUGACCAGCCAAACUGGAACUGAGACACGGUCCAGACUCCUACGGGAGGCAGCAGUGGGGAAUAUUGCACAAUGGGCGCAAGCCUGAUGCAGCCAUGCCGCGUGUAUGAAGAAGGCCUUCGGGUUGUAAAGUACUUUCAGCGGGGAGGAAGGCGAUGUGGUUAAUAACCGCAUCGAUUGACGUUACCCGCAGAAGAAGCACCGGCUAACUCCGUGCCAGCAGCCGCCGUAAAAC
rnacentral:rRNA from 1 species